rnacentral:rRNA from 1 species
AACGUCUGGCCCUUCAGGGAGCAGGUAGUGGCGGACGGGUGAGGAACACGUGGGUCACCUACCCUUUGGUGAGGAAUACCGCCGAGAAAUCGGCGACAAGACCGCAUAGGCUUCCUUCGGGAAGCAAAGCUGCUGAUGAGAGUCAGUGGUGCCAGAGGAUGGGCCUGCGCCCGAUUAGCUAGUUGGUGGGGUAACGGCUCACCAAGGCGACGAUCGGUAGCUGGUCUGAGAGGAUGGACAGCCACACUGGGAUUGAGAACGGCCCAGACUCCUACGGGAGGCAGCAGUGAGGAAUUUUCCGCAAUGGAGGCAACUCUGACGGAGCAACGCCGCGUGCAGGAGGACGGUCUUCGGAUUGUAAACUGCUUUUCCCAGGGACGAGAGUGGACGGUACCUGGGGAACAAGCCCCGGCUAACUAUGUGCCAGCAGCCGCGGUAAU